CAUCACACUUGAACUUGUUCUGGUGACCCGGGGCAAAGAGCAGACCUCACAGACUAGCCUGAACAAGGCAUCACUGAUCUGGGACAGAGAAUAUCACGCCGCUGUACUGGUUGGGUACAGCUUCUGUGAACAUCUUCUCUUUUGCUGGGGCAAUCCAAGUUAGGGAUUUCCUAUUUUUCCUACUCCUACAGGGACUAUGAAAACUAAUAAUUCUGCCUCUCUGGUGUGUCACCAGUUAGUUCAUGUUAUAAAGCCAAUGGCAAACUUUCAGCACACAUUUUAGUUGUUCCCUUAGCAACAGCUCAUCUCUCCCUUUCCAAUAUGCUUAUUUCACCUGGAACAUCACCCUCUAACUGGUCACAUCAUUUGCCAUAGUUUUUUAUUCUCCUUGACUGAAUACUCCAUCUCACUACCUAAGCAGCAUUAGGGGGCCUCAAAUCUUGGUCUUCAAAGCUAUUCUCAAUCUGCAAAGUCCAUAAAUGAAGUCUUCUGGGCUCAUUGCUUAAAUAGCAUCAGUUCAAGGAAAAUCGCAAAAACAAGUCUGCAGCUUUAACUUGUUCCUCAACUUGAGUCAUAUACACACCUUUCAGCCUACACUGAAUGCUUGACUCCUCCUCACCCCAAUUCUGUUUCUCUUCUAGUUGUUUUCUUGGAAGAGAAACAUUCAGGUUAAAAAUAGCAUUUUUCUCUAUUUUAAAACCACACUCCAUAUACAAUCCAUCUGCAACACCAUUAAAUGUAUAAUCGAAAAAGUACAUGGAAUCUGACUGACUUCUCACCACCUUCACUUUGCUUUUCUAGUCCAAGUCUAUAUACAUAACUGGUGUGAUGCUGAUAUCUAGUUUCUGACUGGCCCACUAGAGGAUCCUCUAAUAGGUUCUCAGCAUGAGCCACGGCCACACACUGUCGAUACUUCAGCUGUCAGGGGCCUCUUAAAUGACACAUCAGAUUACGUGCCUCCCAUCUCUGUAUAUCCUUUGACACCUCGCAGAGAAAAGUGCGAAUCCUUCCAUAGACUCUCCGCCAUGCAUGAUCAGGCUUCUGAUUACUCCCUGAUGUCAUUUCUGUUGACUCUCUCUUGGGUGCAUUCCAAUCCUAUCAAAGUGGCCUCUGUGUUCUUAUAAGCACACUUUUACCACUGGGCUGUAUAACUCCUUUCUCUGCUUACACACUUUUUUUUUCUCCUUGAUGUUCUUGGGGUCCAAGUCUUCCUUUGCCUCAUUCAUGCUUUGUUCCAUUGUCACCUCUCAGAGAUGCCUCUUGUGAACAACCCAAGACAGCACUCAACCUGUAAUCUUAGUUUUAUUUUUUAUUCAUGCCUUAUUCAUAGCAUUAUAAUAUGUACUUUAAUAUGUAUUUACUUCUCUAGGACCUUCCCAGCAUGGAAGAUCUAUUCUAAGGACUUUGUCAUUCUCACUGCUAUAUCUGGUAUCAGACAUAUUCAGAGCUCAUUGGGUAGUCACUCAAUGAAUGAAUAAGGGACUGAAUGAGUCAGUCUCUGUACCCACAGGUCAAAGAGCUCUACAUCUCUAGAUUCUUCUUUGAAGGCUGCCCUAGGACUGGAGUUCUCUCUCCUGGGAAUUGUCUAGUCUCUUCCUCAUUCACUCACUACUUCUCUGAAUGUAAUGGGAAAGUGGUUGGACCAUGGAGUUUCAUAGUUUUGGACUGAGGCCCUAGCUUGUCUUCAUACUGACUGUGAGACUGUGUGACCUUGGGCAAAUUCUAUGCAUCUCAUUUUUUUUCGACUGUAGAUUUAGCAUGGGUACCUACCUCAAAUGGCUGCAUGAGAAUUAAAUGGGGAAAAUUGCCACAGAGUAGGACUCAAAGAGUGUUACGAAUCAUUUUUAUUGAUACUUGAGGACAUCUUCUCAGAUUAAGUAAAAUUAUUUAGUACAUUGUUUUUGGUUAAAGUUUAAAAACUAUAUUUAAAUGUAGUUCUAGAUCAGUUUGUAAAAAACAAACACAUGUGUUAAUGACUAUAUGCUUAAACACUUCCUUUGAACUAACCGUAAUAUCUUGCAUUACUGUUUGUCUUAUUGUCUUAUUUUCUGUAUCUGUUACAUGCAUACAUGUUUAAGGUAUGUUUUCUUUUAGUUAUAUAUAAUUAAUUCCUCCUGGCAGAGAAGUCAUAAUUUCUGUGUAUUGCCCAGUCCUAAAUCUUCAGAUGCUGAGUUUGAUGGGGGUCUGUUUUUGCAUUAAGAUAUAGUGGACUCUAGAAUAGGGGUGCUGAUGCUCCACGGGUGAAAAUUCAAGUAUAACUUUACAGUUGGCCCUUGGUAUUCAAGGUUCCAUAUCCUUCUUUGGAUUCAACUUUUCUUUUUUUUUUUUUUUUUUUUGGUGAUACUGAAAAAAAAAACAAACCUGCACAUAAGAAGAUCUGUGCAGUUCACAUUUGAGUUGUUCAAGGGUCAACUGUAUUCUUUGCAGUUUGUAAAAAAUGUGUAUUAGCACAUUUCCAGUUUCAUUAGGAUGACUAAUUAGCCAAAGAAACAUGCUUCAAAAUAAUAAAUCAUAUAACUUUGCAUGUAGAACAUACACCUAAUAAAAUGCUCAUUCUUAUGUUUUAUUUUAGGGCUAUGGCCAAUUAUAUUGAGUUUUUAGUUUAAUGGUGUCAAUCUCAAGCAAAAUAAGAGGUCUAUCUAACUCAGUCAUCAAAAUAUAUCCUAAGAUAACUCUUUAGCUGACAGAUUCUGUUUAUUGAAUCAUAUACAUGAAUUUUUGUUUACUCAUUAAAUAUCUCUGAAAAUAGAUGCUCUAAAAGUCAAUAAUAUUAACAUGGGACUUUUAAAGUGGGAUUAUGGGUAACUAAGUCAUGCUUUUAGGAAUCCAGUACCUUUUCAUUCUUUUUGGUUUUUAUUGAUCAACUAACAGUGAGAAUUAUCAGCUUAUAUUUUUGCAGAACUAUUAUUACAUAUCCCAAUAACAUCUCUUUCUGUAUCCCAACCAGGUAGUUUUGGUAAAUCUGGUAGAGAAGGUCCACUAUUAGUUAUAUGAUCUGCAGUCCCCCAACUAUGUAGAUGUUGUAAUGCUAUUAGCAGAUCUGUCUCAGUUAGGUGGUUUAUGAGGCUUUGGAUUUUAUCUAACUAGGCCUCACUUUUAAAAGAGAAAAGAAAGGAUUUGAGCUAAAUUUUUUCUAACAUUUUUCUGCUUCUCUGAUUCAUCUGUGAUAUUUCAGUGGCUACCUCUUCAGUACAGGGAAAGCCUCUGGCAUGGUGACUAUAAGCAAGCUUCUCUGAUAGGCUAAGCCAAUGGUGAAACAUGGACAUAGGCAGGUAAGUAUUGGCAUUUCUGUAUCAAAAUUGUUAGGAGAAAAAUUCUCAAAAAUCUGUACCGUAAUAUAUUCAAGUCCAACAUCCAGACUGUUUCCACUACACAAAGCCAGGGAGGACCCCUACGUUCUUCUCAGUAUGUUUAAGGGCUGCCACCUGUUUGAAGUUCAACUACCAAAUUUUGUCAGUUUUACUCAUUUUUCUUUAACAACUGCAAGGUUUUUUUGAUAAACAGUAUUUUUCUUCUCAGAUACGUGACCGAUUCCAUCAAGAAUGCAAAUAAAACAUUUAAAACUUUCAGAGAUAUUUCUGAAAGGAAACUUUUAUUUCUCAUGUGGGGGGAUUCAUAAUAAAUAUGCAACAUUUUAAAUACAAAAAGGCAUUUACCUUUUGCAGAUAAAGAAUGAAAUGUUUUUUAAUAUUUAUUGAUAACCUUAUUGUUUUGGGUACUGAUGUAUCAGACAUAUUGGGAAAAAAGCUAUCUCUAACUUGCACCUUUUUCCAAAUAAGUGGUUAAGUGGGUCCCAGUGUAAUUUUUGUUUCCCUUACAUGAAAAUGGUCCACAUUUUAAAUGCAGAUCUAUUUAGACACAUUUGAAAUAGAAGUUGGUCCCUGAAAUGAAAGCUACAGCUUUGCUCUUGAUUUUCAAUUCAGUGAAGUGUGUCUUGAUGGUAGUAUUAAUUUACUAAUGAGCAUAAAUUAAAUAUGUAUUAAUCAGUUUACAUGCAAACACACUCAAAUAUUUAGAUGCAGUGGCCUUCAAUGUUUAUAUUUAAACAACCAUCUCUUUAGCAAUCCGUGAUGAUUCUCUCACCACAGGGAACAAUAAAACUGUACAGAUGGCUUAGUUUUAUACGUGGGCUUUAAAUAAGCAAUGUGUCUUUCUUUUCUUUAAAAAAAAAUCAGUAGAAUUUAUUGAUUGUUCACUACAUGCCUACGGGUGAGACCCAAUUUUUACCUUGAGAACUGUGGAAAUAAGAUUUCUUCUUGUGGAAAACGAGGAAUAGUUUCCUCUCAAGUUCUGUAACACAAUCUUCUCUCCUUAUCAGUUGAGCUUUGGUUAAUGUGUAAAAUGACUCAAAAGACUUUGAUUUCUCUUGGUAAAGAAUUACAAUAUACAACCAAUUUGGAAAAUGAAGAGGUGGUGGAAUUGGUAAUUUGGCCACUUCAUUUUGAAUGUUUUAAUACUGAGAUUCUAUGUGUACAGAGCACUUCACUUGAAAACCAUUUUCCAUGCAAACUUGGAUAUAGUUUCCUCUCCAGAUGAGGUUACUAAGUUGUGGAAAGUAAGCCCAAGCUAGAGAUUCACGUUUACUCUGUGAUCUUGGACAAAGGAGAAGAGAGAUGCUAACAAAAUGCAGCUAAGGGAGAUGUAUCAUGUAUUUUCUGUCCAGAUAGGAGACUAAAAUCUGGUAGAUAUUGGUAUUCUGCCUGGAGGUCCAUAUUAUGCUUAACAAAAGGUUCAGUUAAAUUGACCCUUGAAGUAGCACUAGUGGCACUGACUCAGCUGAAAUUCUAGGGGAAGACACUAUAAAAGUAGAUGUUAGCACUGUGUGUUGGCUUCUUUUGACUGCCUUCAUGGAAGUACUAAAAGAAAAACUUGAAUUAAGGAAAUUUGUGACAAGAUUAUAAGCCAAAAAACCCCAAAUGGCAAUAGAAGGAGACCUUAAGGUAUUAGAAGUACCUAAAGAAAAUAGCUGAUAUUGAAAACGUCCUUGGAUGAUAAAGACUGAACAUAACUACUCAGUUGAGUAACAUGACUCAGGAAAAUAUGAGAACAUAGUUAGAAUGUUAUAACCAAUAAAAUUACCCAGUUGAAUAAAAUAAUUCAAGGAAAACAUCUGAAUAAAAGCUUGGGGUAGCCUGCAUUAAAAAAAAAAAAGAAAGAAAAGAAAGAAAGAAGCAGAAGGGGAGAGAGGGAGAGAGAGGGGAAAAAAAGAAAUGAAGCACAUGUACCAAAUAUUAUUGAGAACAUUUUGGAUAUUGUUACUGAGACACAGAACUGAAUAGUCUUAUAUAAAUCAAAGUUGAUGUAUAUUUUGAGAAAAUUAAUUACAAAGAAAUGAAAAACCCAGAUUUUAAACAGCCUCUGAAAUGUUAAUUUUAUACAUAUUUUAUGAACCCAUCAGGAAACAGCUAAGAAAGGUGUAUGGAUUCCUUAAAAGGGCCUAAUCCCAAAUAUCUUCAAAUGUGGGAUAAAAUCAUGAAAGAUGAGGAGUUCCUGUCGUGGCUCAGUGAUUAAUGACCAACUAAUAUCAGUGAGGAUGCAGGUUCAAUCCCUGGCCUUUCUCAGUGGGUUAAGGAUCUGGCAUUGCCAUGAGCUGUGAUGUAGUUGCAGAUGUGGCUCCGAUCCUGCAUUUCUGUGGCUGUGGCAUAGGCUGGAGGCUACAGCUCCAAUUCGCCCCUUGCUUGGGACCCCCCAUAUGCCAAAUGUGUGGCCCCAAAAAGACAAAAAAAAAAAUCAUGAAAGAUGAGAAGUAACUUACACAAUGCAAAAGAAACUAUACAAAACUGAAACAAAAACAAAAACAAAAAAACAGGCAAUAAUAGGGCAAUCAUAUUCGCAGUCACCCUAACCUCCCAUAAUAGGAAAAUUUCAAUGUAUUAUCUGACAACAAUUCUAUGGAGAAGUAACUGAUGUUUUAUUUGAUUCUUUCACUUGCUAAAUAUAGUAUUGUAUGCUACUUACAGGUCCUAGACUCUGAGCAGAAUCCAGUUACUGAAAAUGACUGUAUUGUCCCUCUUCAAGAAGUUAAUUGCAUACUCUUUGUGGGACAUUACUGAAAGGGUACCCUUUAUCUAGAGACAGAAAGAUAGAACUAGGGCUCACCAUUUAAUGUAUUUUCCACAUUCUCAGUCUCCUUCAUAAUUAGGUAUGGACCAAGUACCUAGGUUCUGGCCAAUGUGAUAUAAGCAGAAAUGAAGUAAGGCAUUUUAAGACUCAGUUCUCAAAAUAAUCUUUCAGAAUCCUCCUGCCC
ensembl:lncRNA